CCUACGGGCGGCAGCAGUGGGGAAUAUUGGGCAAUGGACGCAAGUCUGACCCAGCAACGCCGCGUGAAGGAAGAAGGCUUUCGGGUUGUAAACUUCUUUUCAGGGGGAAGAGCAGAAGACGGUACCCCUUGAAUAAGCCACGGCUAACUACGUGCCAGCAGCCGCGGUAAUACGUAGGUGGCAAGCGUUGUCCGGAUUUACUGGGUGGAAAGGGCGUGCAGCCGGAGAGACCAGGCAGAUGUGAAAACCAGGGGCCAAACCCGUUAAUUGCAUUUGAAACUGUUUCCCUUGAGUGGCGGAGAGGUAAUCGGAAUUCCUAGUGUAGCGGUGAAAUGCGUAGAUAUUAGGAAGAACACCAGUGGCGAAGGCGGAUUACUGGACGAUAACUGACGGUGAGGCGCGAAAGCGUGGGGAGCAAACAGGAUUAGAUACCCUUGUAGUC
rnacentral:rRNA from 1 species